rnacentral:lncRNA from 1 species
CCCAGAGUCGUCAUUCCUCUCUGAAUGCAGAUCACUUUCAUCUCAGGCAUCAGAAGAACAAAAAAUGCCAAGUCUAACGUCUGACCACAAAUAUCUGAAUAAUAAAGCCUCGGGAAGAUCAUUGGGAUGUUUUCCCUUUGAAAGUAACUGGAGGAGCGCAUUGUUAAAGACAGAAGGGAUAAAAGAAGCAGAAUACUCUUCAACCUUUGGCUUGAGAGACUGCAAGGAGAGUGCUGCAAUAUCUAACCUUACUCAGGGAGUCCAGAGCUAUCAAGAAAACCCAUCUUCUAUUCUGCAGAUGAAAAAAGGAUUUGCAUAUGGUCCUGCUAAACCAUUUCCAACUGGCUCUUAUAGUGAAGAUGAGCAUCAUUUUGUGCCAACUUCAUACAUACAUCCACAGACAUCACAGUACUUAGGAUAUGAGUUUUGCAAAAACAGGGGAGACGUACCUGUGGUGGAUCUGCAGAAGAGAGGACUAGAUUUUUGGAACCCAAGUCCACUGAAGAUGCCAGCCAUUCAUGAUGGAGGUGGAGAGAUAGGAGCUUUGAGAUCCAAGAAGAAUAACCACAUUUCCAGCAUAUGUUCACUUUCAGCGGGACCCAGAUGCAAGUUCGGUAAGAAAUGUAUAAUACAUGUACAGUUUUAGUGUUCAGCUCUUGUCAGAUGCUGUUAGAAUUGAGGAGUUGUAGAAGGGGCAACUCUAAGGGCUUGUCUACAUAGACAGUUAGUUUAUGGCAACUGAGCUGUGAAUUUACCCCACCCUAGUCUGCUACAUACUAACUCCCUUUGUGGUCUCUGCUGACACGCAUUAACAGUUUGUUAACGAGCUU